GCUAUCAGUUCUCACAAGCGGCCAGCUAUUGGCCUGAUCUCAGACACAGAGGAAGCUCCCAGUAGCUUCUUCCAGAGAAAUCACUUCCAUGGGUGUUUCCCACUUCUUUCCCUAAAUGUCAGACCACCACAGUGAUACUAAGCUAAAGAUACCAUUUUCAUUAGAUCCAGCAACAAAUAUUUAAAUUUUUUUGGUGUUGUAAGAUACAGUUGACCUGCGCUGGAAAUAAAAUUCUGCACUAAAGGCAAAAAUCCUCCAGUUACUGUGGCACAUCUGUGUUUGCCCCAGAAGAAGACUCGCAGUCAUAGUGACUAGUCACACUGCACUGCUGCGUGCUGCAUUCUUCACAGAACCUAAACUUGUUACAAAUUAACAGUAGAACAGCAUUUGACCACACUGGUCCAAGAGCUUUUGACACAACUUUGAAACUGAAAGCUGUGACCAUACAAGAACUGACGGAGGUCAGAUUUCUCAAGAUGAGAGAACUGCAGGCAAAGGCAAGUCAGGGCUUGUGUGCACAGGAUGCUUCUUUGGAAGAUAUUAUAUCUCUGAAAUAGAAGAAACGUGUAUGUUCUUCCCUAAAAGAGCAGUGCUUUUAGAGGAAAUCUGCCUGCUAAGGUAUUUCAUAUACUUCUCAGUAUCAUCUUCCUUGGAAAUAUUAUAUAAGGCUCUGCAGACUGACUCCACAGAAACAAGAAAUGGUCAUACAAGUUCAUAAUCACUUAAAAACAUUUCUACUCAAUAAGACCACUGGAUAUGUUGGAGCAACCUUGCAAUCUUCUCUGGUUCUUGAACUCAACAUUUACUCAACCAAGUAAAAGAAACUUAUACUGCACAUUAAAGUAAUGAAAUAUUGUUUAUUCUAUUAAGUAUUGGAUUGGAGAGCUGAUAUUGGUCCAGCUUCUCAGACAUAUAUUAGCUUCAAUAUUAGUUUCAAUGGAAAUGUGAUACCUGAAUAUCUAAAUAACUUUUACAGUCUGAAUUGCAAAAUAAAAUGAUGAAGAUAAGAUGCA
rnacentral:lncRNA from 1 species